rnacentral:rRNA from 1 species
GACGAACGCUGGCGGCGUGCCUAACACAUGCAAGUCGAACGGAGAUGUCAAUGAAGCUUGCGAUUUGACAUCUUAGUGGCGGACGGGUGAGUAACGCGUGGGUAAUCUACCUUUUAGUGGGGAACAACAGUUGGAAACGACUGCUAAUACCGCAUAAGCUGCGCAAGCAGGAAAGAUGGCCUCUGAAUAUGCUGUCGCUAAAAGAUGAGCCCGCGUCUGAUUAGCUAGUUGGUGGGGUAAAGGCCUACCAAGGCGACGAUCAGUAGCCGGCCCGAGGGGGUGAACGGCCACACUGGGACUGAGACAGGGCCCAGACUCCUACGGGAGGCAGCAGUGGGGAAUAUUGCGCAAUGGGGGAAACCCUGACGCAGCGACGCCGCGUGAGCGAUGAAGGCCUUAGGGUUGUAAAGCUCUGUUUUAGGGGACGAAUGUCCAUGUGAGUAAUAUGCGCGUGGAAUGACGGUACCCUAAGAGGAAGCCCCGGCUAACUACGUGCCAGCCGCCGCCGUAA